rnacentral:rRNA from 1 species
UGGGGAAUUUUGGACAAUGGGGGAAACCCUGAUCCAGCCAUCCCGCGUGUGCGAUGAAGGCCUUCGGGUUGUAAAGCACUUUUGGCAGGAAAGAAACGUCAUGGGUUAAUACCCCGUGAAACUGACGGUACCUGCAGAAUAAGCACCGGCUAACUACGUGCCAGCAGCCGCGGUAAUACGUAGGGUGCAAGCGUUAAUCGGAAUUACUGGGCGUAAAGCGUGCGCAGGCGGUUCGGAAAGAAAGAUGUGAAAUCCCAGAGCUCAACUUUGGAACUCCAUUUUUAACUACCGGGCUAGAGUGUGUCAGAGGGAGGUGGAAUUCCGCGUGUAGCAGUGAAAUGCGUAGAUAUGCGGAGGAACACCGAUGGCGAAGGCAGCCUCCUGGGAUAACACUGACGCUCAUGCACGAAAGCGUGGGGAGCAAACAGG